rnacentral:rRNA from 1 species
CCUACGGGUGGCAGCAGUGGGGAAUAUUGCGCAAUGGGCGAAAGCCUGACGCAGCGACGCCGCGUGAGGGAUGAAGGUCCUCGGAUCGUAAACCUCUGUCAGCAGGGAAGAACGGUCACUGUGCUAAUCAGCAGUGAAUUGACGGUACCUGCAAAGGAAGCACCGGCUAACUCCGUGCCAGCAGCCGCGGUAAUACGGAGGGUGCGAGCGUUAAUCGGAAUUACUGGGCGUAAAGCGCUCGUAGGCGGUAUGUCAAGUCAAGGGUGAAAUCCCCGCGCUCAACGUGGGAACUGCAUUUGAAACUGGCAAACUGGAGUGUGUGAGAGGAUAGUGGAAUUCCAGGUGUAGGAGUGAAAUGCGUAGAUAUCUGGAGGAACAUCGGUGGCGAAGGCGACUAUCUGGCACAUAACUGACGCUGAGGAGCGAAAGCGUGGGUAGCAAACAGGAUUAGAUACCCCUGUAGUC